CCUACGGGAGGCAGCAGUGAGGAAUAUUGGUCAAUGGACGUGAGUCUGAACCAGCCAAGUAGCGUGCAGGAUGACGGCCCUAUGGGUUGUAAACUGCUUUUAUGUGGGAAUAAAGUCACUUACGUGUGAGUGUUUGCAUGUACCGCAUGAAUAAGGACCGGCUAAUUCCGUGCCAGCAGCCGCGGUAAUACGGAAGGUCCCGGCGUUAUCCGGAUUUAUUGGGUUUAAAGGGAGCGUAGGCUGCCGUUUAAGCGUGUUGUGAAAUGUACCGGCUCAACCGGUGAUGUGCAGCGCGAACUGGAUGGCUUGAGUUCGAAGAGGGAAUGCGGAACUCGUGGUGUAGCGGUGAAAUGCUUAGAUAUCACGAGGAACUCCGAUCGCGAAGGCAGCCUGCGGGAGUGU
rnacentral:rRNA from 1 species